rnacentral:rRNA from 1 species
UACGGUAGGGUGCAAGCGUUGUCCGGAAUUAUUGGGCGUAAAGAGCUCGUAGGCGGUCUGUCGCGUCGGCUGUGAAAUCCCGAGGCUCAACCUCGGGUCUGCAGUCGAUACGGGCAAACUAGAGUAUUGCAGGGGAGACUGGAAUUCCUGGUGUAGCGGUGAAAUGCGCAGAUAUCAGGAGGAACACCCGUGGCGAAAGCGGCUCUCUGGGACGGUACUGACGCUGAGACGCGAAAGCGUGGGGAGCAAACAGG